CUCUAUGGAAGUCAGAAGUGAUAUCAUGAUCAUGAAGGUGGUUUUCAUGUGGGUGUGGUUCACCCUUUGCACUGUGAGUGUGCUGACCCCAGCAUUGUCCCAAAUAUAGAAAAUUCUACUGCACACUUUGUGGUAGCGUAGAGACUAUGAUCUCAC
ensembl:snRNA Gm24446 predicted gene, 24446